rnacentral:rRNA from 1 species
UACGUAGGGGGCGAGCGUUGUCCGGAAUUAUUGGGCGUAAAGAGCUCGUAGGCGGCUUGGCAAGUCGGAUGUGAAAACUCCAGGCUCAACCUGGAGCCGCCAUUCGAUACUGCUAUGGCUAGAGUCCGGUAGGGGAGUGUGGAAUUCCCGGUGUAGCGGUGAAAUGCGCAGAUAUCGGGAGGAACACCGAUGGCGAAGGCGGGUCUCUGGGCCGAUACUGACGCUGAGGAGCGAAAGCGUGGGGAGCGAACAGG